GGUGUGGCUCAGGAACAGAGUACUUGCCUAGCACGCAGGGGACCCUGGGUUCCAUCCCCAGCACC
rnacentral:tRNA from 1 species